AUACGGAGGGUGCGAGCGUUAAUCGGAAUUACUGGGCGUAAAGCGUGCGUAGGCGGUUAUUUAAGUCAGAUGUGAAAGCCCAGGGCUCAACCUUGGAACUGCAUUUGAAACUGGGUAACUAGAGUUUGGUAGAGGUGAGUAGAAUUCCUAGUGUAGCGGUGAAAUGCGUAGAUAUUAGGAGGAAUACCAGUGGCGAAGGCGGCUCACUGGACCAAAACUGACGCUGAGGUACGAAAGCGUGGGGAGCAAACGGGAUUAGAAACCCCAGUAGUCC
rnacentral:rRNA from 1 species